rnacentral:misc_RNA from 1 species
GAAAAACACACCUGGACGUUUACAAAAAAAGAGAAAUCUCUGUCCCAAAGCCUGACCUUACGUUUCAAUCAAGUGCAGCUAGGACAAGGGUGGUUCAAGCCCGCCCGAUAAAGGAACAUGGCCAAGCUAGCCCUAAAACACACUCCUUCCUUCAUUCAGUGCCUUCAUUCAGUCAGUCAAUCUGUCAAACCAGUAAAUUCCAGCCAGUAAGACAAUUCUAGCACCAGAAAGUAGAACGGGCACAUGGCAUGAAGUCAGCAAACUACUCUCUGUUUUCUUGAAAGAGGAAGCCCUUUGGGCAUACCUGCCUGAAAGAGUUAGAAUAAGCUGCUUUCCCGUCCCGCCAUUCCUGCCCUAAAGCAAGGGAAUAGAGUCAGACCCACUCAAAGUAAAGUCCCGUGUCGUACGAUCGUCGCAUAGCCCCCUACACUUGAACUUGCAAAAGGCCAUCUCGCCUAUCCCGACUCAGCGGAGCAUCUUCAAAGCGAUCGUUCUCACUCGUUCACUCCACACAUGCCCUCUCGAAAGAAGUAUGUCGCUCCUCGCCUGCUUAUUCGCCCUCUGUCU